UUUUUUUUUCACUUUUUCCUUUACACUCCACUCUCACUUUCUAAGAAGUUUGUGGCUCGGAUCUCUCUUCUCCCUCUCCAUAGAUUCCGUCGCCAUGGCAUAGAGGUUUCUCUUGGAAAUUGCUAAUAGACCCAGGAGACGAGGAGAAGAAAUAUAAGGAAGAGGCUAAAUGAAGUGAAACACAACCAUCCAUUUGCAGGAUUACAUCAAAGAAUGUCAGUUUCCAGCGCAUACCUUCAAAUAUUUUUCUGUGGCUCAAUGAAGAAGCUCAAGACAAUCACCAUAUCUGGGAAGCACUUUGGCUGUUCUACCGAGUGUCCUAACAUAACACAUAACAUUAUAGAGGGUCUUAUACUGUAUCAGGGACAGGGGCUGUAUGGAUCUACUCUCAGGCCGGUUGAAGUGCUUUCACAGAACCUAUAUCUUGAACUUGGACGUAUCUUCUCAGUUGUCAAGUUGCACUCACAGAGUUGACGAAUCGUUGAAAAUGCCUUUGCUUUGUUUCCAUGCUAGAGCAAUGAUUUCACAUUUAUUACUUUUUUACUAAGUGAAUUUAGGUGGUUCUAGGGGAAACUUUUUGGUGUUUUGCUGAGGGAAAGGCUUGAUGAUGCUAACGUUAAGUGCUUCCAUUGACCGUAAUUGCAAAUGUUUUUAGAUGAGAGAAAUUAUGAUAUUGCGCUUCGAGGUG